UGACCUAUGAUAAACGCCAGGAGUGUCGAUUAUAUAAAAGUGGUUGUUUGUACAAGUGAUAGCUGGAUGUCCUGUCGUAUUGCAAACAAUGAGGUUGGCCACUGCGUGUGUUCUUCUUCUCUGCUUGGCAGUCGCAAACUGCUCAGUUCUAGACAGUGUCUGUCACAAGAACGGCGGGGCCUGCUACAGCAUGUUCACCAACGUGUUCUGUAUGGGGAAGCGUACCGGGGACGACUGUGGCAGCACUAACCUCUACUGCUGCAUGUCCGACUUCAGCAUCGGCAAGUAACACGCUUCGACAGGAUCAUGCACAGAACGACGUCACAGAACUGGAUCGGAUGCCUUGUUCGCCCAUAUGUAGUUUUGAAAUAAACUAUUCGUGAAUCAAA